rnacentral:rRNA from 1 species
CCUACGGGUGGCAGCAGUGAGGAAUAUUGGUCAAUGGGCGGGAGCCUGAACCAGCCAAGUCGCGUGAGGGACGACGGUCCUAUGGAUUGUAAACCUCUUUUGUCGGGGAACAAAGGCGCCCACGGGUGGGCGGAUGAGUGUACCCGAAGAAAAAGCAUCGGCUAACUCCGUGCCAGCAGCCGCGGUAAUACGGAGGAUGCGAGCGUUAUCCGGAUUUAUUGGGUUUAAAGGGUGCGUAGGCGGAUUUUUAAGUCAGCGGUAAAAUGUCCGGGCUCAACCCGGGCCGGCCGUUGAAACUGGGGAUCUUGAGUGGGCGAGAAGUAUGCGGAAUGCGUGGUGUAGCGGUGAAAUGCAUAGAUAUCACGCAGAACUCCGAUUGCGAAGGCAGCAUACCGGCGCCCGACUGACGCUGAGGCACGAAAGCGUGGGGAUCGAACAGGAUUAGAUACCCCAGUAGUC